UACGUAGGGUGCAAGCGUUAAUCGGAAUUACUGGGCGUAAAGCGUGCGCAGGCGGUGAUGUAAGACAGGUGUGAAAUCCCCGGGCUUAACCUGGGAACUGCAUUUGUGACUGCAUCGCUGGAGUGCGGCAGAGGGGGAUGGAAUUCCGCGUGUAGCAGUGAAAUGCGUAGAUAUGCGGAGGAACACCGAUGGCGAAGGCAAUCCCCUGGGCCUGCACUGACGCUCAUGCACGAAAGCGUGGGAGCGAAACAAGGAUUGA
rnacentral:rRNA from 1 species